GACGAACGCUGGCGGCGUGCUUAACACAUGCAAGUCGAGCGGUAAGGCCCUUUCGGGGGUACGACGAGCGGCGAACGGGUGAGUAACACGUGGGUGACCUGCCCUCAGCUCUGGGAUAAGCCUGGGAAACCGGGUCUAAUACUGGAUAUGACUCCAUGACGCAUGUUGGUGGGGUGGAAAGCCUUGUGCGGCUGAGGAUGGGCCCGCGGCCUAUCAGCUUGUUGGUGGGGUGAGGCCUACCAAGGCGACGACGGGUAGCCGGCC
rnacentral:rRNA from 1 species